UCGCCGCAAGCGGGGAGUAACUGGGGCGGUGCGGGGUCUGACGCUCGGUUUUGCUGCGGAUUCUCCGCUCCCGACUCUCAGGCAGAGCGCGGGUGGGCGUGGCAGGGGAAGGGCAGCAGAUCCACUCCGCGAGCGCUAUGCAAAUGUAAUACAAAUAAGCGCACGGGGGAUGGAGCGGCGGUUUUGAGUCCAGACGCCGCAACGCCGCGCGCUCUCUCACUCGCUCGCCCCCGCCUGCGUCCGCUCUGCGCUCUCGCGCUUGCUCUCUUUCUCGCAAGGUCGCUCAACCCCGCUCCGCCGCGCACUGUCCCGUCCAGGACGCGCCUCGCAGGCUCCCCGCGCCACCCGGUUGGCAGCCGGGCGCUGAGCCCGCGCUGUGCGCCAACGGCCGGGGCGCCCCGCGGAGCGCCGGUGCCCCGGCCCCCGGGCCGCCUUCGCCGCGCAGGGCCAAGGACAAUACCACAGGAUCUGGGCACUAUUGCAAGUGAUAAACAUAAGGAUGACAAGCUGAUAGCUCCCAGAGCCUCUGUAGCAGGAGCAGCAGCAAGAAAACUACCAAGCCUCAGGGCACUGAAAAGGGUCCAGAAUCCAAUACCAGCAGAAGACUAUGAAGAUAUGGGGUGUCUGAGGAAGGAGAAGGGGGCCCUCACACGUGGAUCUUUGGCUCCAAACAGCUGCAUAUGGAAGACUCUGAACACCUGGUUGCAGUGCUGGUCUGAGGAAUGGGAAUCUACCGUGGAGAAUGUGAUUUCGUCAUCUACAGUUAAAUUGUUGUUUGAGCCCCAAGUCCCUUCUCACUAA
rnacentral:lncRNA from 13 species